UUUUUGAAUGUUAAAUAGUGAUUCCCAAAUGUGUGUUCCGAUUCACCAAAUGUCUAAGGACAUGCUAUGUCUUCUUACAUACUUGAGACAGUUCAGUAAACAUACAGAUGAUCAUUAAUGUUUUAAAAUCAUCUUUUCAAAUAUAAAGUCAUCUUUGACAUAUUUCAUAAAUAUCUUUUUUUAAUGACAGUUAGCCAGAUACCUCUUUUAGAUAUCCUGCAUAUAUAUACAAUGAGGUGUAGCGAAAAAAUUUUGCAUGUCACUGCUAUAAUGCUACAUCAAGAAAUACCCAGUAAAUGCUUUUUGCCUCUUAACUCCAGUCUUGCUGAAUACUAAGGAAUUUAUAGAGUUUAAUAGUCUUUUAUAUUUUAUAGUGUUUAAGAAUGAAUGAGUUAGGAGACAUCUGCUUCUUAGAUAAUCUUUAACCAAAUAGUCUUUUCAGAUUGAAUAAAUAUUUCUCACUGUGACUAAGGACUCAUUCCUGCAUAUAGCUGAAAUAAGUUGAACUUUUCAUGUAGAUUAAUGAGCUUGUAAACCCAUUGCUCAUUUAUAUCUCUGAAAAUUUUCCCAUUCAGAUGGCUUUAGAGUGAGAUCUAUCUUUAAAAUAGGAGCAAUAGAGUAGAAAACUGCAUAUGUAGACAGAAGUAAAAAUGAGUAACAAGAAAAGAAAAAUAGAUUUAAAUUCACUGAAAGGUACUGUAAUCCAUUUUCUGAUGCUUAAAGUACUAGAAAUGCUGUCGUAAGUCCAGAGUAUAGAAUAAUACAGUAGUAAUUCAAAUAUCGUUGCUCUCACAUGUCAGUCUAUAUAAUCAAUGACUUAUCUGUGCAAUAAUUAAGUAAGAAAAUUUCACUACUUCCUCCCCAAACCAAGGCCUAUGAGAGGCUAAGGGAAUUUGGCUUGUUUGGCCUUGAAAAGGAAGGCUUUGAGGAGACCUGACAGUAGCCUGUCAAUAUCUGCAAGAAGGCUCUCAAGCACAGUUGUACCUGCUGGGAAGAAAAGAAUUAAUAGGGAAAAAGUGAAAAUAAGUGUUCAGACUGGUUGUAAGGAAAAAAAUAUUCACCUUGAGAACUGUACAGCGUUAGAACAGGCAGCCCACAGGAGUUGUACUCUCUCUGUCUUUGGAAGGUUUCAAGAGACAAGAGAGUAAAGCCCAGAUCAACUUUGUCUAAUCUCAUAUUUGAUCUUUACUAGAGGUUAGAAGACCUCAAGGUCUUUUCAGCCAGAAUUAUCCUAUGAUCCAGUAUUAAAAGUGUAUCAAAUAUUGAGAAGUGGGAGAAAAUCAGUCUCUUUGAGUUACUUGCUGUGUUCUGAUCCAAACAGCUCAUUAUGAUGUUGGCCACCUUUGAUGCCAGGGCUCCCUGCAGGCUCAUGCUCAGGUUGCUGUCUCCUAAAAUCCCCAGGGCUUUUGCAGAAGAGGUAGUGCUCAGCCUGGUCCCACCACUGUAGAGUUUUUUCCUUCCCUUGUGCAGGAUUUUGCUUCUGUUCUAGUCAAAUUUCAUGAGGUUCCCAUCACUCCACUCCUCUAGCAUGUCCAGGUCCCUCUGCAUAGUAGUCAUGCCCUUAAACAUGUCAAUUAGUUCUCCUAGUUUGUGUCUCUCCCCUCAGGUGAGCUCUCAGACUUGAAGAACAUGCAUCUGUGUGUCUAUCUGGUCACUGAUAAACAAGGACAGGUUCCAAGAUAGAUCCCUGGGCAAUUCUAGCUGCUGCUAGCACCAGAUAGAGUACAGUCUGUUAACAGCUAUGCUCUAGGUUUGACCAUCUAGCAAGUUAUUCGACCCUCUAGAUUCCACCUAUAUGGUCUGUAAUGUCCUAGUUUGGAUACAAAAAUGUUCUGGAAGAAAGAGUAGAAAACCUGAUACAGCCACAUCCACUGUUCACCACUUGUCCAUGCAUUCAGCCAUUUUAACGCAGAAGACAGUCAGAUUGUUCAGGCUAAAUUUACCCUUGGUAAAUUCAUGUUGACCAUUCCCAUUCACCAUUUUCUCUUUUGUGUGUAUCCAAAAGUGUUCCAAGAGGAUUCACCCUAGGAUUCUCCUAGAGGCAGAAACAGGACUGACUGACCUGUAGUAGUUAGGGAAUCAAGCAAAUGUACCCAUGUAUCAGUGACAAACCAACAGAUGUAAAAGUAAAUACUUUCAGUAUUAUAUAUUAAUGUCACUAAUGAAAUGGUAUUUCAGGAAGGGAGCAGUAUAUUCCUAGUGCAUACUGACAUUUCCUGAUGAAAAUACACAAGUAUAGAAUUUACUGAGUGAAAGGUGCUUUUCAUUAUACUACAUUCCCAUC
ensembl:lncRNA